UGACAUGCAGAGAACUUUCCAGAGAUGGAUUGGUGCCUUCGGGAACUCUGACACAGGUGCUGCAUGGCUGUCGUCAGCUCGUGUCGUGAGAUGUUGGGUUAAGUCCCGUACGAGCGCAACCCUGUCCUUAGUUACCAGCACGUUAUGGUGGGCACUCUAAGGAGACUGCCGGUGACAAACCGGAGGAAGGUGGGGGAUGACGUCAAGUCAUCAUGGCCCUUACGGCCUGGGCUACACACGUGCUACAAUGGUCGGUACAAAGGGUUGCCAAGCCGCGAGGUGGAGCUAAUCCCAUAAAACCGAUCGUAGUCCGGAUCGCAGUCUGCAACUCGACUGCGUGAAGUCGGAAUCGCUAGUAAUCGUGAAUCAGAAUGUCACGGUGAAUACGUUCCCGGGCCUU
rnacentral:rRNA from 1 species